rnacentral:rRNA from 1 species
CAUAAUCAUUAGUCUUUUAAUUGGAGGCUGGUAUGAAUGGUUGGAUGAGAUAUUAACUGUUUCAUUUAAAAUUUUUUUAGAACUUUAUUUUUUAGUUAAAAAGCUAAAAUAUUAUUAAAAGACGAGAAGACCCUAUAAAUCUUUAUAUUUUAUUUUUAUUAAUUAUUUAGAUAUUUUUAAUUAUUAAUAAUUAAAAUAUUUUAUUGGGGUGAUAUUAAAAUUUAAUAAACUUUUAAUUUUUAAAUACAUAAAUCUAUGAUUUUUUGAUCCAUUAUUAAUGAUUAAAAAUUUAAGUUACUUUAGGGAUAACAGCGUAAUUUUUUUGGAGAGUUCAUAUCGAUAAAAAAGAUU